CUUGUCGGGUAAGUUCCGACCCGCACGAAAGGCGUAAUGAUUUGGGCACUGUCUCAACGAGAGACUCGGUGAAAUUUUAGUACCUGUGAAGAUGCAGGUUACCCGCGACAGGACGGAAAGACCCCAUGGAGCUUUACUGCAGUUUGAUAUUGAGUAUCUGUACCACAUGUACAGGAUAGGUAGGAGCCAUUGACUUCGGGACGCCAGUUUCGAAUGAGGCGUUGUUGGGAUACUACCCUUGUGUUAUGGCUAC
rnacentral:rRNA from 1 species